rnacentral:rRNA from 1 species
ACGGGAGGCAGCAGUGGGGGAUUUUGCACAAUGGGGGAAACCCUGAUGCAGCGACGCCGCGUGAGUGAAGAAGUAUUUCGAUAUGUAAAGCUCUAUCAGCAGGGAAGAAAAUGACGGUACCUGACUAAGAAGCCCCGGCUAACUACGUGCCAGCAGCCGCGGUAAUACGUAGGGGGCAAGCGUUAUCCGGAUUUACUGGGUGUAAAGGGUGCGCAGGCGGGACUGCAAGUUGGAUGUGAAAUGCUGAGGCUCAACCUCAGAACUGCAUCCAAAACUGUAGUUCUUGAGUGGAGUAGAGGUACGCGGAAUUCCGAGUGUAGCGGUGAAAUGCGUAGAUAUUCGGAGGAACACCAGUGGCGAAGGCGGCUUACUGGGCUCUAACUGACGCUGAGGCACGAAAGUGUGGGUAGCAAACAGGAUUAGAUACCCUGGUA